rnacentral:rRNA from 1 species
GACGAACGCUGGCGGCGUGCCUAAUACAUGCAAGUUGAACGCUUGAUUUUUCACCGAAGCUUGCUUCACCGAAAAUCAAGAGUAGCGAACGGGUGAGUAACGCGUGGGUAACCUACCUAUCAGCGGGGGGAUAACUAUUGGAAACGAUAGCUAAUACCGCAUAACAAUGUUGGAUGCAUAUUCGACAUUUGAAAGUACCAACUGGUACACUGAGAGAUGGACCCGCGUUGUAUUAGCUAGUUGGUAGUGUAAUGGACUACCAAGGCGAUGAUACAUAGCCGACCUGAGAGGGUGAUCGGCCACAUUGGGACUGAGACACGGCCCAAACUCCUACGGGAGGCAGCAGUAGGGAAUCUUCGGCAAUGGACGAAAGUCUGACCGAGCAACGCCGCGUGAGUGAAGAAGGUUUCGGAUCGUAAAACUCUGUUGUUAGAGAAGAACGUUGCAUAGAGUGGAAAAUUAUGCAAGUGACGGUAUCUAACCAGAAAGGGACGGC